UACAGAGGGUGCGAGCGUUAAUCGGAAUUACUGGGCGUAAAGGGCGCGUAGGCGGCCUUCUAAGUCGAACGUGAAAUCCCCGGGCUCAACCCCGGAACUGCCUUUAAUACUGGCAAUCUCGAGUCCGAGAGAGGUGAGUGGAAUUCCGAGUGUAGAGGUGAAAUUCGUAGAUAUUCGGAGGAACACCAGUGGCGAAGGCGGCUCACUGGCUCGGUACUGACGCUGAGGUGCGAAAGCGUGGGGAGCAAACAGG
rnacentral:rRNA from 1 species